UGAGGAGUUGGCAACACUGUCGCCAUUAUUAGAAGCUACAGUGGCUAACGGCUACCAGUGAAAAACAACAGAGGAAACCGGUCCGUGUUGAUCCCUGUGGUGGCAUCAGACAUCCUCCAACAAAUAUGCCCAGGACAAGUUAGUUCCCGGAGGCUGGCUCACCUCCAGAUCCAAGUACCAAAUUGUAACUCCUUGGAGAAGGGUCUUAUGGCACAGUUGCAAAAAUGUGUCAGAAUAGCUGACAAAAAGACCGUACCCAUUAAAAUAAUGAAACAUGAGAACCCAAAAGACCCGUUAAAAAACCAAGAGACAGUGGACGUCUAUGUCUUGAGUUUGAAUAUCUUGACAAAAGUGGAAGAAAGAAAGAAAGAAAGAAAGAAAGAAAGAAAGAAAAAGAAAGAAAAUUUCAAACCGCUUAGUUUAAAGGCAAUUCGUCCCAUCAUCAUGCAGAUCGCAAGAGCUCUUAGUCACCUCAACUCUACUGGAACAAUACACGCAGAUCUGAAAUUAGAAAAUGUAAUGUUGGUGAAACAUCAACAAGAGCCAUACUGAAUUAAAGUAAUUGACUUCGGCCCGGCCUGUGAAACCUCAGCUGCCAAAGACCCGUCCUUACCAGUCUCUAGAGAUUAUUCUGGAGCUUCUGUUUACAGAAGUCGUAGAUGUAUGGUCUCUGGGUACAUCUACGGCUGGACACUUGAGCAAUAUUUCCAAGUGUCUGGGGUUUGGUUCAUGGAGACAAGAGAAAUAAAGUUCUCUGGAUGACCUCUUCUAUAUCACUGAGCAUCAGGAUUAUGCAAAUAAAACUGCUGAAAUGUUUGAUUUCCUGAUGUUUGUUGAAAUGGUGAAAAACUUGCUUCACCUCCAUCCCGAAAAACGGAUGACACCCCGUCAGGUGCGGGACCAUCCCUUUGCAAGAAUGCACCACCUUGCAUGCUUGCACCACCUUAGCUCCUACAUCAAGUCCUGCUUUGAGCACAUAAACGUCUUUAUUACAAAGAAAACAGCGACAUCAGAUAGCGGGACAGAAGUGUGUGGGUCUCUGCACCAGGCCACCUCUGACACCAGACAACCUGCCUAACAGAAGUUCCCUCCCCCUUCAGCUCAGAGGAGCAGCCCCAAUUCAUCAGGUCCAAUCACUGGAAAAAUGCUGAGACAUUUCCAAUCAAAUCACAGUUUAAAAGAAAGAGUCUUGAAGAAGAUAUAAAGGAUAUGGGUGGGCCAGAGCUUAAAAGAAAAAUGACUGAUUGGAAAAACGCAAGCAGAAAAAUACCAUAUCGACGUGAAAGGUCACAUCAUGACCAGAACAAAUGCCAUUAUUCAUCGGGUCCAUCUUGCGCAACCAGUGGCUCUCGGCAAGCCAGACCAAACCUACUUUGACAGGUCAAAUAAGAGGGCCAGAGCAAACUACAAAGAUGAUAAGAGCCACAUCUUCGUUAACACCAUACACUACACCUACUACUACCUCCCUGCACCCAAGAAAAUGCUAAAUAAACCAGCUGUGAUACUGGUGACUGUUCUUGAUCAGUGAUUUUUUUGUUUUGUUUUGUUUUUUUAGUCACCGUCUAGACUUUUGUUUCUGUAAUUUGAGGUCAUCACAUUUUUUAUUUUACUAUUUUUAUAUGUUAUAAGCACAAAAGAGCACCUUUUUAAUUUCAGUUGUUUUAUUUUGUCUUGUGAAUUCUUGCUUGAUGUCCUUUUUUAUCUUUUGUUUGUUAAAGGUCUAGUAUUGAUCACGGAAAGAGGCUUACUGUCACAGUAUUAUCAUUUGUGAAAAACCUCUGUGUGUAACUGAUGGCUAAAAUUCUUUUUCCCUUUGAUUCAGAUUUCUUGUAUUCAAAGUAGAAUAAAAAUAUUGAAUAACUAAACCCGUUCAAGUUUAGGCACUGUAUGGUUGAAAAUAACAUUUGUUUUUGGAGGUUAUUUAAAUAUAAUAAUAAUAAUAAUAAUGGAUUGCAUUUAUAUAGCGCUUUUCGGGACCCCUCAAAGCGCUUUACAAUACCACUAUUCAUUCACUCUCACAAUAUAUCGUGAUAUGUAUCGUGUAUCGUGAUAUAGCCAAAAAAUAUUGUGAAAAAUGUGCCAAAUAUUUUAUUCUGCUAUUGACUCUUGUUUUAAGCUUCUUGUACCCCAGAUACUGUGAGCAUGAACUCUGCUACAGUAGUCAGCUGGUGUCUGAUCCAAGCACGACACAUUUGAAUGGUCUACAUAUCGUAUGUACUAUAUGGCAGAAAGCUAUAUUACAGUGUUGAAAACCGAAAAAAUACGCAGGUUAAGCAAAAUACAAGAACUCAAAUGGAGUCUGAGCUUUUGUUUUUUUAAUUAAUCAAUUAAUUGAUUUUAAACUUUAAUUUGAGAAAUUUGUUGUGCAAGAACAACAACAACAAAAAAAAAUAUCAGAAGCUUCUCAUUUUAGCUGUAUUUGCAUAUGGGGAAAAAUGCUCACAGCUCAUUCUGAGUUCUUUUGUAGACCUGAAACAGGCCAAGUAUAAAAUCACUCUUACUGUAAGGUUAAUUACAGUUUAAGUAGAGUUAGCAGUUAUUCUCAGAAGGUUAACACUGUAAGUCUGUCUUUUGGAAUUAAAACAAGCUUAAAGUAAA